rnacentral:rRNA from 1 species
GAUUAACGCGAAGAACCUUACCUAGGCUCGAACGGCUUGAGCAAGUUGGUAGAAAUAUCGACCCUCCCGCAAGGGACUCGAGUCGAGGUGCUGCAUGGCUGUCGUCAGCUCGUGUCGUGAGAUGUUGGGUUAAGUCCCGCAACGAGCGCAACCCUUGUCCUGUGUUGCUAACCGAAAGGUGCACUCUCAGGAGACCGCCAGCGAUAAGCUGGAGGAAGGUGGGGAUGACGUCAAGUCAUCAUGGCCUUUAUGUCUAGGGCUACACACGUGCUACAAUGGACGGUACAAACCGCUGCAAACCUGCGAAGGGGAGCUAAUCGGAAAAAACCGUUCUCAGUUCGGAUUGCAGGCUGCAACUCGCCUGCAUGAAGCUGGAAUCGCUAGUAAUGCCGUAUCAGAACGACGGCGUGAAUACGUUCCCGGGCCUUGUACACACCGAAUCACUAGU